GCUACGUUGGCCGAGCGGUUUAGGCACCAGACCGAGGAUCUGGAACGAAAGUUGUAGACAGGUUCGACUCCUGUACGUAGCA
rnacentral:tRNA from 1 species